GUACAACUUAAACCUAAGUAAGAGUAAUUUCUUUAAUGUUUUUUUAAUGCAAGUAAUUAUUUUUUAGUGCAACGGACACAAAUGUCAUUCCGGGUGUCGAGGCAACGACUGUAAGGCUUUCUGCAAAGGCUUCAAUUGCAAAGUGAUGUGUUUAGGAGUACCCUGCGACAAACAAGAGAUAUUUUGGUGACAGUAGCUGAUCUUUAGUUUAGUAUGAG